AUAACUACUGGAAACGGUAGCUAAUACCGCAUAACGUCGCAAGACCAAAGAGGGGGACCUUCGGGCCUCUUGCCAUCGGAUGUGCCCAGAUGGGAUUAGCUAGUAGGUGGGGUAAAGGCUCACCUAGGCGACGAUCCCUAGCUGGUCUGAGAGGAUGACCAGCCACACUGGAACUGAGACACGGCCCAGACUCCUACGGGAGGCAGCAUG
rnacentral:rRNA from 1 species